GAUGAACGCUGGCGGCGUGCUUAAUACAUGCAAGUCGAGCGAACAGACGCGGCGUUUGUUCGUUUCUCGUUAGCGGAGCGGGGGUGUGUAACGCGUGUAUCCUCCCCUUAUCUGUGUGGGAUCUUCUGGGAACAGCGGCUAUAAUACCGUAUAAGCUCCUGAUCCGUAUGGUGGGUUGGUAAAUUUCGGCCGUGCGGGCUGUACUCGAGGCUUAUGCGCUGGUUUGGGUGGUAGUUGCUUACCAAGGGUUUGACGGGUAGGCGGCAUGAGAGGGUGAACGGCGACAUUGGGCCUGAGAGACGGAGCAGACUCCUACGGGAGGCAGUAGUGGAGAACCUUGCACAACGGGCGGAAGCGUGAUGCAGCAACGUCGCGUGCGGGAUGACGGCUUACGGGUUGUAAACCGCUUUCGAAUGUGACGAAGCGUGAGUGACGGUAAUGGGUAAAGAAGCACCGGCUAACUACGUG
rnacentral:rRNA from 1 species